AAAUUUUUUUCAUUAAUUUUCUGAACUUUCGGCCUUCGGAUGCCUUUGGGCUGUGCUUAGCUGAACCUUCAUCAGAAAUCAUUGCUGCACAAGUCACAGAGCAUGGGGAAAAGGAGGCUGACGCUUCAAUCAACAAUCGUAUCGCAUUCGAUUUCAAAACUCAAUCCAGAUUGAUGGACUUUUGCAUGAAAUCCCUAAUUUGUCAAUCAUCCAUCGAGAUCCAAGAACUGCUCAUUUUGUAGAAGCAAUGGCAUCUCAACCCUUCUUGUUUGAGAACCAGUUUUUGGUGUCUAGGACAAAGCUUGGAAAUGUUCAAGUUCUUACUAGGAAUGAAGGUGAAGUUCGAGUGAAUUGCAAUUAUGUUAAUGGCCGUUGAAGGGAUGCAUCAGAUUCUUGGGGUUUGUCUGUUAGCUUCCUCAACAUGAUAUUGCUACCAAUUGUGGGAAAUGCAGCGGAACAUGCAGGAGCAAUCACAUUUGCUUUCAAGGACAAGAUAUAACUUUAGGUGUUGCUUUGGGAUCUGCAGCUCAAAUUGCAAUGUUUGUUGUGAGAAUUUAAGUCUGCAGCUCAAAUUGCAAUGUUUGUUGUGAGAAUUUAAAACAGAAGCUAGCUGCAUCAAUUAAAGCUUUCUUCAUGAACUUUUGACUAAGCAAAUAUACGUACUGGUAAAUACUAAGCAAUGUUUGUGGUGAGACCAUAAAAUGUGACAUGAAGCAGGAAAGGAGUCUGACUGUUGAUUUUGGGUUUUCUCAUUUCCUUUUAGUUUCACUGGAACUUUGCAGUUGUGAUUUUGUAGGAUAAGACUAAUGGCCGGAAUGAAGAAUGUUGCUCAUAUACAAGCUCAAAUAGAGAAAGUUGGUGAAGAUGCUCGUCUUUAGGAGGCACUGAUAAAGAAUCUUCUGCAGCCUGCACAGCUGCUGCAACUUGCUCUUUUGGUUUUGCAUUUGUGCGUUACUGCUUGUUGAAGAAAAUCCCAUUCCCGUGUUGUGGGAGUCAAAGAAACAAAUGAAGGAGACAUGAUUGAAGCAGUAGUAAAUUAGAUAGGGGAGGCUAUUAAUUCCUUCAACCAAAUCUAUGGUGCAGAAGCAAUGUUUGCUGAUUUAGGUCACUUCUCUGGGCCAAGCUGCUUAUCUGAUGAGAUACCCAAAUUCCGUAGAAAGAAUAUUCUAUGACUCUGUGCCAGGUUCUUAACCAACAACUCAUUAAGUGGGGAAGUACCUCAGUGGGUAUUGGACAACAAGAACUUGCGAGUCUACUUAAAGUUUAAGCUGAGUAUCCUCAUUUCAUUUGGCUGUGAAAUUUUCUAUACACUGUUGAAGAGGCUUUCUUUGGAUCAUAAUGACCUUUUUGGGUGUGAGUUGGGAAGAACGUGCAUACAUUCGUAUUAAUGUCCAUGGAGUAGUUGGUUGCUGUCAUGUUAAAAAAGUACACAUGGAAAACAGGGAAUAUUGUGGCAAGUGAUAUGUAUUAAGUUUAAAGGAGUCUCUUUUUAAUAUUGAGAAGAUCUUCCGUGUUUAAUCUUUUCUAAUUAGUGUAUUUAUAAUGUAUUGUAACA